CAUGAGCAUCCUUAGCAGCUUCCAGGAAACCAGGAGCUUAGGAGCCAUCUGAAGCUUGGAGAGGUGACGUCUGAGGCCACCUGGCUCCUUAUCACCAGAGCCUGUUCUUUGGGAGAGUGUAUCCUUUGCAGUCACAACUCUUGGAGCCAUGUAGAGGUGG